rnacentral:rRNA from 1 species
CUGCCCAGUGACUAAUAGUUAAACGGCCGCGGUACCCUAACCGUGCAAAGGUAGCACAAUCACUUGUUCUUUAAAUCAGGACUAGUAUGAACGGCCCCACGAGGGCUAUGCUGUCUCCCCCCUCCAAUCAGUGAAACUGACCCCCUCGUGAAGAAGCGAGGAUAAUCUCAUAAGACGAGAAGACCCCAUGGAACUUUAAACUAGCACCACCCCCCCCCCCCC